AUGGCGCUGCCGAUCCAUUUUAUGGCUGUGCUACCACUCCCGAUGUGGGCCAUUAAAAUCAUCAACAGAAAAUGCAGAGGGUUCGUUUGGAAAGGAGAAGAGCAGGUUAGUGGGGGGCACUGCCUCAUGCCUUGGGCAAGGGUUUGCAUGCCAAGGGAAUUUGGAGGACUAGGGAUCAUUAACCUUAAGUGCUUUGGGAUGGCCCUGCGCUGCAAAUGGUCGUGGCUGAGGAGGGACUUGGAAGAGCGGCCGUGGCAUUGGCUUCCGGACAGCACGGAAAAGGAAGUGCAGGCCAUUUUUUAUGCUGCUUGUCGUAUGACUUUGGGGGAUGGAGCGAGGGCCAAGUUUUGGACCGACAAUUGGCUUCCAAACAGAUCUUGGAUCAGGGACAUCACUGGAGGGAUCUCCCUCGUUGCCAUAGCACAAUACCUUCAAGUCUGGGACUUGGUUCAGGAAACAGCCCUGGCUCCGGACUCCCAGGAUCGCCUUGUAUGGAAGCUCACUUCGGAUGGCCAGUUCUCCGUCCAGAGUGCAUAUCAACUCUUCUUCAUGGGCAACACCCGGUUUGCCUGCUCCAGACCAAUAUGGAAAUCCAAGGCACCUCCAAGAUGCAAGUUCUUUAUGUGGUUGGCGGUCCACCGGAAGUGUCUCACGGCAGACAAUCUUGAGCGAAGGGGCUGGCCAUCCAACGGCAUAUGCCCCCUUUGUGUGCAGGAGCCGGAAAACUGCUCACAUUUAUUUGUAAAUUGCAGAUUUACACAGCAGCUCUGGCGGAGCUUCAGGACAUGGACGGGGGCUGAUUUCCAGGUACCCAGCGAGCAGUUUGGCACGGCGGAAGACUGGUGGCUGAAGGCGAGGGUGGCGAUCCCGAAACCGUCACGGAGGAAUUUCGACACGAUCGCUAUCCUGAUACACUGGAGGAUAUGGAAGGAGAGAAACGCGAGAAUUUUUGAUAAUGUCGCCAACACCGUAGACAGGGUGCUGGAGUUUAUUAAGGAAGACAUUAGAAUGUGGCGGGCUGCAGGUUGCAUCUGCGACCUGCCGGCGAACACCUAA
rnacentral:rRNA from 1 species